rnacentral:lncRNA from 1 species
GAAAUGAACAUUGAAAAAGGAAAAAGAAACCGAAUAAGGAAAUGGAAAUUGAAUAAGGAAAUGGAAAUCGAAUAAGGAAAUAAAAAAAAAAAAUAAAAAAAAAAAAAAAAAAAAAAAAGAAAAAAAAAAAAAAAAAAUAAAAAAAAAAAAAAAAAAAAAAAAAAAAAAAAAAAAAAAAAAAAAAAAAAAAAAAAAAAAAAAAAAAAAAAAAAAAAAAAAAAAAAAAAAAAAAAACAAAAAAAAAAAAAAAAAAAAAAAAAAAAAAAAAAAGAA